GCGCAGGGUGGAGCAGCUCAGAGUGCUCGCAGGUUUCAUGGGCCUGAGGUCGUGGGUUCGAAUCCCACCCUGCAACC
rnacentral:tRNA from 1 species